UAUAUUUAAGUUAGUACUAAAAUAACAAUUAGUUGGUAAGUGGUCUGGUGGAGGGGAGUGGUGUUUAGGUCUUUAGUGUAGUGGGUUUGAUUCCCCUAUGUGUAGUUUUUUUUUCUUUUAACAUUUUCUUUUAUAUUUAUGCUUUAUUAUUCAUAGUUUUUUAUUAUUGUUUAAUAAUAUAGAUUUGUUUUUUCUUUUAAUUGCAUCAUGUGUUCGAAACCAUUUGAAAACUAUAAAAAUCAUACGUUUCUCGAUUUAAUAUCGAGCCCAUUUUCAUACCCUUGUAAGUCGAUUGCUUUUAAGCAUCGCCAUCAACCUCACAUGGCUUACUCUUGG
rnacentral:lncRNA from 1 species